AACUAAAUAGUUUAAAAUAAAACAAUAAUUUUGUAAAUUAUAAAUAUAUAAAUUAUUUUAGUUU
rnacentral:tRNA from 1 species